rnacentral:rRNA from 1 species
AUACGUAGGUCGGCGAAGCGUUAGUCCGGAUUUAUUGGGCGUAAAGCGAGCGCAGGCGGUUUUUUAAGUCUGAUGUGAAAGCCUUCGGCUCAACCGAAGAAGUGCAUCGGAAACUGGGAAACUUGAGUGCAGAAGAGGACAGUGGAACUCCAUGUGUAGCGGUGAAAUGCGUAGAUAUAUGGAAGAACACCAGUGGCGAAGGCGGCUGUCUGGUCUGUAACUGACGCUGAGGCUCGAAAGUAUGGGUAGC